UACGGGGGGGCUAGCGUUGUUCGGAAUUACUGGGCGUAAAGGGCGCGUAGGCGGUCUGCUAAGUUGGAUGUGAAAACUCUGGGCUUAACCCAGAGCCUGCAUUCAAUACUGACAGGCUAGAGUUCUGGAGGGGAUAGCGGAAUUCCUGGUGUAGCGGUGAAAUGCGUAGAUAUCAGGAGGAACACCGGUGGCGAAGGCGGCUAUCUGGACAGAGUCUGACGCUGAGGCGCGAAAGCUAGGGGAGCAAACGGG
rnacentral:rRNA from 1 species